UACGCAGGGUGCAAGCGUUGUCCGGAAUUAUUGGGCGUAAAGAGCUUGUAGGCGGUUUGUCGCGUCUGCUGUGAAAUUUCGGGGCUCAACCCCGAACUUGCAGUGGGUACGGGCAGACUAGAGUGUGGUAGGGGAGACUGGAAUUCCUGGUGUAGCGGUGAAAUGCGCAGAUAUCAGGAGGAACACCGAUGGCGAAGGCAGGUCUCUGGGCCACUACUGACGCUGAGAAGCGAAAGCAUGGGGAGCGAACAGG
rnacentral:rRNA from 1 species